GAGAAGAACGGCAAGUAUGAGGUUGCACAACUUUUAAAAUCCUCCAUUGUCCCGUGCUUCUAAUUAGGCGCGACCAUACACCCCACAUGCAUCCUUGCUUGCACAUGGCAUCAUACCUUAGGUUCUUGUCAGAGUGAACUACACUAAAAGGCCUAUGUAACCUCACUGCAUAGUUAGCCAAAAAAACUUGAGCUCCUCAAGACUGUUGAACUUCAUUCCCCUCUUAAUCACUGGAUUCUAACUAUAGGGUAUCCCUUUCAAAUUCACCAUAGUAGAUUCACAUAUGGCUUUGUGGAUCAUACUUAUGUCCUUAACAUUGGGAACGGAUAGAAGUUCGACAUGACAUUUCUUCAACAACUGCAACUCAUUAGGGGUGUAAUCAAAACAUUCGUCCACAUGACCAAUGUCAUCUACAUCAUGCACAGUUGUAGUGCUGACCUGCGGUCCAUCCUCCUUAUAUUGUGACUGCUCCUCAGAUUCAGGCCCAUCCUCCUUAGAUUGUGACUCCUCCUCCUCACAUUCAGGCCCAUCCUCCUUAGAUUGUGACUCCUCCUCCUCACAUUCAGGCCCAUCUCCGACUCCUACAUCUUCAUGUGCGUUGGCCUAAACAUCUUCUACCCUAUCCUCCUCCUCUAAAUCAUCAUCUUCGGAACCUAGAGAUAUGUCAUCAUCAUCUAUGUUUGCUUCUUCCCGCUCAAAAGUAUCAUUGGGAAAAUCAUCAUUCGCAAUGGCCAAGCCAAAAUCAGAUUGGCUUUCACCUAAACCAUGCUAUGAAAUUGUUGACUCUUGGAUACCAUUCUCAACCACUAACCGGACUUCAUCUCUCAAGGAAACAUUUGCGCUAGGACUAGGACAAAUAUCAACUACCACCUCCAAACAUACAACAUUUGCAUGCUCAACUACCUCUUUAUACUGCUUCCAAUUAGACUCGGAUGCCAAGUUCAUAAGAACGUAAUGAGGUCUAGCUUUCCCACAAUCAAAACGGCCUCUCAAUGUCAUCUCAUCCACUCCACAUCCAUACUUUCUCAUUGCACGGUCAACUAAAUCUUUAAAACUUGGACGAGUAUCGAACAAUUCCACUACCUCAUUCAUAUUCUCAAACUCCCCAUUCUCUUUU
rnacentral:lncRNA from 1 species